rnacentral:rRNA from 1 species
AGCGAACGCUGGCGGCAGGCCUAACACAUGCAAGUCGAACGAACCUUUCGGGGUUAGUGGCGGACGGGUGAGUAACACGUGGGAACGUGCCUUUAGGUUCGGAAUAACUCAGGGAAACUUGUGCUAAUACCGAAUGUGCCCUUCGGGGGAAAGAUUAAUCGCCUUUAGAGCGGCCCGCGUCUGAUUAGCUAGUUGGUUGAGGUAAUGGCUCACCAAGGCGACGAUCAGUAGCUGGUCUGAGAGGAUGAUCAGCCACAUUGGGACUGCGACACGGCCCAAACUCCUACGGGAGGCAGCAGUGGGGAAUCUUGCGCAAUGGGCGAAAGCCUGACGCAGCCAUGCCGCGUGAAUGAUGAAGGUCUUAGGAUUGUAAAAUUCUUUCACCGGGGACGAUAAUGACGGUACCCGGAGAAGAAGCCCCGGCUAACUUCGUG